rnacentral:sRNA from 1 species
UGGUAGAUGCACCCUGGUUUUAGCCUCAGAGACUCGUUUCUGGGGCUUUUUCAU